AUUGAACGCUGGCGGCAUGCUUUACACAUGCAAGUCGAACGGCAGCACAGGGAGCUUGCUCCCGGGUGGCGAGUGGCGCACGGGUGAGUAAUACAUCGGAACGUGUCCUGUUGUGGGGGAUAACUGCUCGAAAGGGUGGCUAAUACCGCAUGAGACCUGAGGGUGAAAGCGGGGGAUCGCAAGACCUCGCGCAAUUGGAGCGGCCGAUGCCCGAUUAGCUAGUUGGUGAGGUAAAGGCUCACCAAGGCGACGAUCGGUAGCUGGUCUGAGAGGACGACCAGCCACACUGGGACUGAGACACGGCCCAGACUCCUACGGGAGGCAGCAGUGGGGAAUUUUGGACAAUGGGGGGCAACCCUGAUCCAGCCAUGCCGCGUGCAGGAUGAAGGCCUCGGGUUGUAACUGCUUUGUCA
rnacentral:rRNA from 1 species